AGCUUUGCGUGGUGGCAGUAUUGUAGCCUGUGAUAUUUGUCAGAGGCACAAUUAUUGCUAGUCUAA
rnacentral:snRNA from 1 species